rnacentral:rRNA from 1 species
CCCAGACUCCUACGGGAGGCAGCAGUGGGGAAUAUUGCACAAUGGGGGAAACCCUGAUGCAGCGACGCCGCGUGAGUGAAGAAGUAUUUCGGUACGUAAAGCUCUAUCAGCAGGAAAGAAAAUGACGGUACCUGACUAAGAAGCCCCGGCUAACUACGUGCCAGCAGCCGCGGUAAUACGUAGGGGGCAAGCGUUAUCCGGAUUUACUGGGUGUAAAGGGAGCGUAGACGGCAGCGCAAGUCUGGAGUGAAAUGCCGGGGCCCAACCCCGGAACUGCUCUGGAAACUGUGAAGCUGGAGUGCAGGAGAGGUAAGCGGAAUUCCUGGUGUAGCGGUGAAAUGCGUAGAUAUCAGGAGGAACACCGGCGGCGAAGGCGGCUUACUGGACUGUAACUGACGUUGAGGCUCGAAGGCGUGGGGAGCAAACAGGAUUAGAUACCCCUGUA